UACGUAGGGCGCAAGCGUUGUCCGGAAUUAUUGGGCGUAAAGAGCUCGUAGGCGGCUCAGUAAGUCGGGUGUGAAACCCUCAGGCUCAACCUGGGGACGCCACCCGAUACUGCUGUGGCUAGAGUCCAGUAGGGGAGUGUGGAAUUCCCGGUGUAGCGGUGAAAUGCGCAGAUAUCGGGAGGAACACCAGCGGCGAAGGCGGCACUCUGGGCUGGUACUGACGCUGAGGAGCGAAAGCGUGGGUAGCAAACAGG
rnacentral:rRNA from 1 species